AACGAACGCUGGCGGCAGGCCUCAAACAUGCAAGUCUAGGGGGUGUAGCAAUACAUCACCGGCGGACGGGUGCGUAACACGUGGGAAUGUACCUUUUGGUUCGGAACAACGUAGGGAAACUUGCGCUAAUACCGAAUGUGCCCGUAAGGGGAAAGAUUUAUCGCCAAAGGAUCAGCCCGCGUAGGAUUAGCUAGUUGGUGAGGUAAUGGCUCACCAAGGCUCCGAUCCUUAGCUGUUCUGAGAGGAAGAUCAGCCACACUGGGACUGAGACACGGCC
rnacentral:rRNA from 1 species